GCAAAUGCUACGACUUAAGACGGUAGACUUGUAAUGAAGGAAGAAUGGACAAUUGGGCAUCUGUUUCCACGCAUCUGUCUUCAUAAAUAAAUUUCUAAUUAUCCGGGCGCAAGUAACGGGGUUUAAAUUCAUCGCAUCAGGUUAUGCUACGUGUUCGUCUUCUACAGGGAAAGCGUCAACCGAUCCUCCCCAAAACCAAACCAGUUGCAUCAAGCAAAACAUGCCACGAGUUUCUGUGUGCUUCUGAGAUCCAAUGCAUGGAGUAUUUAGUCUCAUCCACAGUGGCUGGAUAGGAAGCCAACGCAAGUUCGGUGGUGCUAAA